rnacentral:misc_RNA from 1 species
AACAGGGCAACAGGACUCCAAGGAAAUUAACCCACUAAGCUCCCGAAAGAAAUUGCCACUAUUCAGAUAGUUUUGGAAUGCUACAACCAAGCUUCAAAUGCUUCAUACCUCUGUAUGUCCUGAAUUUUGUUUUACAACUUAUUAUAUUGAACAUGAGAAAAAGAUCAAAAAGUACCCUAUGGUAUUGGCAAGAUCGGUGGCGGUAAAUCUUAGACGUUACUCUGCGUGAAUCCAUUUAUAUGAUCUUCAUUUCGUAAGCAGUUCGGUCUGAGAUUCACAAGUCAAAUAAUAGUUCAAUCAAUUUCAGA